rnacentral:rRNA from 1 species
UCAUCGAAUCUUUGAACGCAUCUUGCACUCUUUGGUCUUCCAAAGGGUAUGCCUGUUUGAGUAUCAUUAAUAUAAUCAAUACAAAUCAAAUCAAUCAAAUCUACUUUGAUAAUUUGAUAUGUGUUUGGAUGUUGAAGGUAUGCUGGCUUUGCGGUUAGCUCCUUUUAAAUAAAUUAGCAGAACCAUUUAGGACUGGCUUCAGUUUGAUAAUGAUGAGCCCUUAUCGAUGCUGUUGCUUGUUAUUUUUGUUCAGCUGAUAAUUGUCCUUUUGGACUGUCUUUUAAAGACAUUUAAAUUCUUUAACUGAUCUCAAAUCAGGUAGGAUUACCCGCUGAACUUAAGCAUAUCAAUAAGCGGAGGAAAAGAAACUAACAAGGAUUCCCUUAGUAACUGCGAGUGAAGAGGGAAAAGCUCAAAUUUUAAAUCUGACAGCCUUUGGUUGUCCGAGUUGUAAAUUAGAGAAGCGCUAUCUGUGCUGGCCUGUGCAAAAGUCUCUUGGAAGAGGGCAUCAUAGAGGGUGAUAAUCCCGUCUUUGGCACAGAUCCCAGGGCGUUGUGAUACGCUUUCAAAGAGUCGAGUUGUUUGGGAAUGCAGCUCCAAAUGGGUGGUAAAUUCCAUCUAAAGCUAAAUAUUGGCGAGAAACCGAUAGUGAACAAGUACCGUGAGGGAAAGAUGAAAAGGACUUUGAAAAGAGAGUUAAACAGUGCAUGAAAUUGUUGAAAGGGAAACGCUUAAAGUCAGUCAUAUUCUUCAGAAAUCAACUUGAUUUUUUUGAAUCUUGCUUACUUUCUGUUGAAUGGGUCAGCAUGAAUUUUGACCAUUGGAAAAAGGGAUUGGGAAGGUAGCAUCUUUCAGAUGUGUUAUAGCCCAGUGAACCAAAUACAUUGGUUGGGAUUGAGGAACUCAAGUGUGAAC